rnacentral:lncRNA from 1 species
GCUCCAAGGAGUGUUUGAGGUGGAAGAUAUGGUAAACAUCCCAAGCCAGUGACGGCACCACCCCGCUCCCCAAAGAUGAACAACUAUAAUGCAAGUCACACAAUGAAGUCAGGUGUCUGCAAAGAAACAAAGGUUGCCUGUUCUUAUUGUAUCCCAGUGACCACACAACCCUCCACAUGGGACACAUCUGUCUUUGCUUCUUCUAUCAGUAACUUUUCUGUUGCUGCGAUAAGAACAUCAUGGCAACCUAAGGAAGAAAGAGUUUAUCCUGGCUUAUGUUUCCAGAGGAACUUGAGUCCACAAGGGAGGACCAGGAGAUACGACAGCAGGAACUUGAAGCUGAGGGCUCGUGGCUUCAAUUGAAUGCAUGAAGCAGAGAGAGCAACUGGAAAUAGAGCCAGUCCUUAACUCUAAAAGCCCUCCUCCAGUGAAGACUUCCGCCAACAAGGCAAUACCACCUAAAUCCCCCAAACAGUGUCAAGGAAUCAAAUGUUCAAAUACAGGGGGUGGGGGGCAGGCAUUGCCAUUUGAGCCUCUACAAUUCCCUAUUGUAAAGCACCUUAGCCUACACUGGAGACAAGUGUAUGACGUGUACCUCAUUGGCUCACGGAUGAGUCUUGGCGCUUCACUCUCAUGAGCAAAUUAGAUAAAUGGGUACUAGACUA